UGGGGAAUUGUUCGCAAUGGGCGCAAGCCUGACGACGCAACGCCGCGUGGAGGAUGAAGGUCUUCGGAUUGUAAACUCCUGUUGCCCGGGACGAAAUGUUCAGACCUAAUACGUCUGAGUUUGACGGUACCGGGUGAGGAAGCCCCGGCUAACUCUGUGCCAGCAGCCGCGGUAAUACAGAGGGGGCAAGCGUUGUUCGGAAUUACUGGGCGUAAAGGGCGCGUAGGCGGCCUGUUAAGUCGAACGUGAAAUCCCUGGGCUCAACCCAGGAACUGCGUCCGAUACUGGCUGGCUUGAAUCCGGGAGAGGGAUGCGGAAUUCCAGGUGUAGCGGUGAAAUGCGUAGAUAUCUGGAGGAACACCGGUGGCGAAGGCGGCAUCCUGGACCGGUAUUGCCGCUGAGGCGCGAAAGCCAGGGGAGCAAACGGGAUUAGAUACCCAAGUAGUCCCUGAGCGGGCUGGCAAGGCGCAU
rnacentral:rRNA from 1 species